CUAUUGCUGACUCAGGUAAUACAACCACAUGCCUUCUCUCGUCCGCAUCCAAAUGGGUUAUAGAUUCGGGUGCUACAGAUCAUAUGACAGGAUCUUAUGACGAAGAGGGUUAUUGGUAAGGGGCGUGAGUCUGGAGGUCUCUACGUUCUUGACACAGCGAGGCCGGAGUCUGUUGCUUGUUCUGGUGUUGUCACUCCAGUUGAAGCACAUUGUCGUUUGGGGCAUCCUUCCCUUCCCUUGUUGAAGAAAUUGUGUCCGCAGUUUUCUAGUUUGUCUUUUUUACAUUGUGAGUCAUGUGAGUUUUCUAAGCACCAUCGUGUGCAUUUGAGUCCUAGGGUUCACAAACGAGCGUCUGCUCCUUUUGAGUUAGUACAUUCUGAUGUUUGGGGUCCAUGUUCUGUGACAUCUAAACUUGGUUAUAAGUAUUUUGUUACAUUUGUUGAUGA